ACGGAAGGCAGCAGUGGGGAAUAUUGCACAAUGGGGGAAACCCUGAUGCAGCGACGCCGCGUGAGUGAAGAAGUAUUUCGGUAUGUAAAGCUCUAUCAGCAGGAAAGAAAAUGACGGUACCUGACUAAGAAGCCCCGGCUAACUACGUGCCAGCAGCCGCGGUAAUACGUAGGGGGCAAGCGUUAUCCGGAUUUACUGGGUGUAAAGGGAGCGUAGACGGCUUUGCAAGUCUGAAGUGAAAGCCCGGGGCUCAACCCCGGAACUGCUUUGGAAACUGUAGAGCUAGAGUGCAGGAGAGGUAAGUGGGAUUCCUAGUGUAGCGGUGAAAUGCGUAGAUAUUAGGAGGAACACCAGUGGCGAAGGCGGCUUACUGGACUGUAACUGACGUUGAGGCUCGAAGGCGUGGGGAGCAAACAGGAUUAGAUACCCUGGUA
rnacentral:rRNA from 1 species